rnacentral:rRNA from 1 species
AUUGAACGCUGGCAGCAUGCUUUACACAUGCAAGUCGAACGGUAACAGGGAGCUUGCUCCGCUGACGAGUGGCGAACGGGUGAGUAAUAUAUCGGAACGUACCCAAGAGUGGGGGAUAACGUAGCGAAAGUUACGCUAAUACCGCAUACGAUCUACGGAUGAAAGCAGGGGAUCGCAAGACCUUGCGCGAAUGGAGCGGC